rnacentral:rRNA from 1 species
UACGAAGGUCCCAAGCGUUAUCCGGAUUUAUUGGGCUUAAAGGGUGCGUAGGCGGGUUAUUAAGUCAGUGGUGAAAGCUCCAUGCCUAACAUGGAAAUUGCCAUUGAUACUGAUGAUCUUGAGUACAUUUGAAGUGGGCGGAAUGUGUCAUGUAGUGGUGAAAUACUUAGAUAUGACACAGAACACCGAUUGCGUAGGCAGCUCACUAAACUGUAACUGACGCUGAGGCACGAAAGCGUGGGGAUCAAACAGG